UUGUUUCGGUAGCACAUAUACUAAAAACUGGAAUGAAACAGAGAAGAUUAGCAUGGGCCUUGCACAAGGAUGACACACAAAUUCAUGGAGCAGUCUAUAUUUUA